UAUAAAUGAUAUACAGUAAAACUGCGAAUGGCUCAUUAAAACAGUUAUAGUUUAUUUGGUAAUCGAAUUUACAUGGAUAACCGUGGUAAUUCUAGAGCUAAUACAUGCUGAUAAGCCUGACUUCUUGGAAGGGCUGUAUUUAUUAGAUAACAGCCAAUGUCCUCGUGAUAUUGUGGUGAAUCAUAGUAACUGAUCGGAUCGCAUGGGCAUGUCCCGCGACAAACCAUUCAAGUUUCUGCCCCAUCAGCUUUCGAUGGUAGUGUAUUGGACUACCAUGGCUUUUACGGGUAACGGAGGAUUAGGGUUCGAUUCCGGAGAGGGAGCCUGAGAAACGGCUACCACAUCUAAGGAAGGCAGCAGGCGCGUAAAUUACCCAAUACUGACUCAGUGAGGUAGUGACAAGAAAUAACGGGCCGGGGAUUUCCCCGGGACUGAAAUGAGUUUAAUUUAAACCCCUUUUCGAGGAUCCAUUGGAGGGCAAGUCUGGUGCCAGCAGCCGCGGUAAUUCCAGCUCCAAUAGCGUAUAUUAAAGUUGUUGCAGUUAAAAAGCUCGUAGUUGGAUUUCUGGCAGGGCGCCGAUGCCCGCUUGUUGCGUGUGCAGAGCGCCCUACCAUCCUUCUGUUAACUUGUCUUGGCAUUCAUUUGUCGGUCAAGGGCUCAGAUAUUUUACCUUGAGAAAAUUAGAGUGUUUCAGGCAGGCUUGCGCCGGAAUACAUUAGCAUGGAAUAAUAGAAUAGGACUUGAAUCUCUUCUGUUGGUCUGAGGGGUUGAAGUAAUGAUU
rnacentral:rRNA from 1 species